ACUCAAAGGAAUUGACGGGGGCCCGCACAAGCGGUGGAGCAUGUGGUUUAAUUCGACGCAACGCGAAGAACCUUACCUAGGCUUGAACUGCUGGUAGUAGAAUUGAUGAAAGUCGAGACGAACCGUAAAGUCGGUUGCCAGUAGAGGUGCUGCAUGGCUGUCGUCAGCUCGUGUCGUGAGAUGUUGGGUUAAGUCCCGCAACGAGCGCAACCCUUAUCCUAUGUUGCCAUGUCUGUAAUGGACGGAACUCUUAGGAAACUGCCUCGGAUAACGGGGAGGAAGGUGGGGAUGACGUCAAGUCACCAUGGCCUUUAUGUCUAGGGCUACACACGUGCUACAAUGGCCGGUACAACGAGCAGCAAAUCCGCAAGGAGGAGCAAAUCUCUAAAAGCCGGCCCCAGUUCGGAUAGUGGGCUGAAAUUCGCCCACUUGAAGUCGGAAUCGCUAGUAAUCGGGGAUCAGCUGGCCCCGGUGAAUACGUUCCCGGGCCUUGCACACACCGCCCGU
rnacentral:rRNA from 1 species